rnacentral:lncRNA from 1 species
GCUGGUGGCAUUACAGGGCAUGUGACUCCCUCUCCUUCAGAAGUUCCCGGCUCCUCCCUUGCCCUGUAAAGUUUCAGAUGAAGUUGGGCUGUGUGUGAGUCCCGGAGCUGCCUGCAGCUCCCCUGCCCUUCAACCCACCCACUGUAUCUGCACACCCCUUGCUGUUCACACUCCUGGGAAUUUGGCACUAAGUUUCAAGUGGAUGUGGGAUUCUCCUUCUCUUCCAGUCCUAGUCUGUUGUGUAGCGUUGCUGCGCGCUGCUCCGCCGCUGCUGCCUUCCAGCCCAGAGGUGGCUGCAUUGCAGUGGUGGCAGCUGGUGGGGACCACAUUACAGGAGUGCAACCCACACCCCCUGCCAUGCCACACGCCGAUUGCUGCUUCCCUCCCCUCUCCCUCCUGGGCUGUCACACUGACCCGAAACAGGAAGGAUUUGAGGGGAAGGCCGGUUCUGUGACAGGUUUUCCUGGUGAGACGUCCCUGGGGAUGGGAAGAGGAAACCAAAUGCUGCCCCUGGCUGUUGCAGCCACAGGCUCCCAUGAGACAGCAGCCACGAGUGAGCAGCCAGCAACAGCUGAAGAUGCAUCAGACACAAGCCUGCAUGGGUCUGGCGUGGCAGGCUUGCUCCAGAAUGUCCAGCAACUGCUGGUGCAGAUCCUGCAGACAUCACGGCGGCAGCAGGCACUGCUGGAGAGCCUGGCCAGUGACACAGUCUCCCACCUCCACCUCCUUUCCCACAGUCUCGUGCAGGUGGGCGAGACCUUGCACCAACUCCUGCUCCGGCCACAGAUCCAUCCUGGCCCCAUUGGCCACUACAUCCCCCAUAUGCCCCUUUUUGAGGGUGGCUCUGGAGUGCCCUGCUCCCCUGGUGCUCCCCACACUUCCCUGGAUCACAAAGAGGAGCCUCAGCUGUCCCCCAAUGCCAGGUGCAUCACCCCGUGAGUGCCACCAUCACUGGCCACAGGAGCAACAGCUUUGCUACACAGCCACAGCACAGAUCUUUAUAUCAGAGGUUCCAGAUAUUUUCAAAGUUUAUACUAGAGAGACAUUUUAAUAAAAUUAAAAAUAGCUUUUCUACCA